AAGGCAAGUUCUCUCUCCUCUCUCUCUCUCUCUCUCUCCCUCCUUGAGUACUUUUGGUUUUGGGUAGUGGUUUACCACUUUUGGUUUUGGGUAGUGGUUUAGCUUUAUUUAUGCUUCCUUUCUUUCCAGUACUCAUUUACAGCAUUGAGCCAUAAGCAUAUGUGAUUAUAGCAUUGUAAUUAAUUAGAAAAUCUGUACUGGGGUUUUGGGAUUCAAUCCUCCCUUCUGCUGUGCAGAUGGAGAUGAUUUCAACUAGAAAAUAACCUCUAAUGUAAUAAUAUUUACUUCCUAUUUGAAUGUAGUCUAUAUACUGACUUAGAAACUCUCAAACUGAAAUUCUUGAUGCAUAAAUUGGUCUCUUUGUUUUUUAUUUGACUGGUUUGAUUGAAUGACUUGAAGAGAUGUUAAUCUGUGCUUCUGUUUGUCACAGAAGUACAAAACUUCCUGUCUGAUAUUUGUACUUUUGUUUAUAGUGCAUAUGGCAACAAACCAACACAAGCUCGUUCUCAAAUGAUGCCUAUCGGGACACCAAGAGUGCCCUGCAGAAAUUCUGAGGAAGGAACUUGGCAAUGGGUUGAUCUUUAGAAUGUUUUAAUAAAGGACUUUAGCUGCAUGAAGCGCUUCUAUCCUCAAGAGGCUCUUGAAUAUGGACUCUUUGAUCGUACAGUCAAGCCACCCCAAAUUAAAGCGAUGCACCGUGCAAAGAGGCAACAGCGGGUCUUGGUUAGUGUAUUUUUUGCUUGCCCACUAUUUUGCUUAGGUUUUUGCAGCUAAUUGUGGUGAAUAUGGUCUUUUCUGUUGUGGAAAUGAUCUAGUGUGGUUAUGUCUCAUCUAAGCCUAGAUGAAAGGUACAAUGUGCUUAUACAGUCCUAAGGUAUUAUCAGAAUCGAGCUUCAUUUGAAGGUCUAAACUUCACUGAAAGAUGGAGCAAGACAGAAAAAUGAAGAGAAAAAGGGGCACUUUUUUUCUUCUUUAGUAUGGCUAUGAUUUCAUAGGUCAAAGUUGUGACAAAAGAUGAUUAUUGUAACUUUUGUAUAAACAUUUUUUUGGAUUUGAAUCUCUGUUUAAAAAAUGUUGUUGUGAUG